GAGUCCGGAGGUCAACGUCCGCCAGCGCGUCGCGCCCGCGGGCGGCG
rnacentral:sRNA from 1 species